AGUUUCCCCAUCUUUACUUAUUUUCCAUAUAUUACUUACUUCAAAAUUUCUCUUCUCAACGUGGGUAUAAUUUAGCCUCAUUGGUUAAAUUAUUUGUGGGCAUAGAAAGGCUGACUUAACGUUUUCUCGUGAGGGACGGGAAUCGUCGAACGUUAAGGCCGCACGGUUCUAGUUUGUUCGGGUGUAACGAAACCAGGCCCGUGACAAAG
rnacentral:lncRNA from 1 species